rnacentral:rRNA from 1 species
GACGAACGCUGGCGGCGUGCUUAACACAUGCAAGUCGAGCGGUAAGGCCCUUUGGGGUACACGAGCGGCGAACGGGUGAGUAACACGUGAGUAAUCUGCCUUUGGCUUGGGAAUAACUUCGGGAAAUCGGGGCUAAUGCCUGAUGUUUACUGUCUGCUGCAUGGUGGGUGGUGGAAAGAUUUUUUGGCCAGGGAUGAGCUCGCGGUCUAUCAGCUUGUUGGUGGGGUAAUGGCUACCAAGGCUUUGACGGGUAGCCGGCCUGAGAGGGUGUUCGGCCACACUGGGACUGAGACACGGCCCAGACUCCUACGGGAGGCAGCAGUGGGGAAUAUUGCGCAAUGGGCGUAAGCCUGACGCAGCGACGCCGCGU